CGUGGAGAGGAGAAUAAAAAUUAGAAGACUCUGGAGAUGCUUGGCUUUCUUCUUCCUUUCUUCCCGUAGCUCCAUUGGUAAGAUAUCGAGCACGAACAAGUUCCGGGACGACUAUCAGGUUAAAAUUUGAUCGAAAGAAAUCAUAAAAUGGGAUUGGAACUUAGUGAGGCCAAGGUUACAGAAGCGAGAAGAAAAGCGAAGAAGAGCAAGACAGG